rnacentral:tRNA from 1 species
GCCCUUGUGGCGGAAUUGGUAGACGCAGCGGACUCAAAAUCCGCCGUUCUAAAUGAGCUUGCCGGUUCAAGUCCGGCCAAGGGUA